AGUGAACGCUGGCGGUAGGCCUAACACAUGCAAGUCGAACGGCAGCACAGUAAGAGCUUGCUCUUACGGGUGGCGAGUGGCGGACGGGUGAGGAAUACAUCGGAAUCUACUUUUUCGUGGGGGAUAACGUAGGGAAACUUACGCUAAUACCGCAUACGACCUACGGGUGAAAGCAGGGGAUCUUCGGACCUUGCGCGAUUGAAUGAGCCGAUGUCGGAUUAGCUAGUUGGCGGGGUAAAGGCCCACCAAGGCGACGAUCCGCAGCUGGUCUGAGAGGAUGAUCAGCCACACUGGAACUGAGACACGGUCCAGACUCCUACGGGAGGCAGCAGUGGGGAAUAUUGGACAAUGGGCGGAAGCCUGAUCCAGCCAUACCGCGUGGGUGAAGAAGGCCUUCGGGUUGUAAAGCCCUUUUGUUGGGAAAGAAAAGCAGCAGGUUAAUACCCCGCUGUUCUGACGGUACCCAAAGAAUAAGCACCGGCUAACUUCGUG
rnacentral:rRNA from 1 species